rnacentral:rRNA from 1 species
UACGUAGGGUGCAAGCGUUGUUCGGAAUCAUUGGGCGUAAAGCGCGUGUAGGUGGCUAGUUAAGUCGGGUGUGAAAGCCCUGGGCUCAACCGAGGAAGUGCACUCGAUACUGGCUGGCUAGAAGAUAGUAGAGGAUGGUGGAAUUCCAAGUGUAGAGGUGAAAUUCGUAGAUAUUUGGAGGAAUACCGGCGGCGAAGGCGGCUUUCUGGACGACAACUGACGCUGAGACGCGAAAGCGUGGAGAGCAAACAGG